GAUGAAGAACGCAGCGAAAUGCGAUACGUAAUGUGAAUUGCAGAAUUCAGUGAAUCAUCGAGUCUUUGAACGCAAGUUGCGCCCGAAGCCAUUAGGCCGAGGGCACGCCUGCCUGGGUGUCACACACCGUUACCCUCGCGCCAACGUCCAUCGUUGGCCGCGGCGCGGGGCGUGCGCUGACCUCCCGCGAGCGGGGUCUCGUGGUUGGUUGAAAAUCGAGUUCGCGGUCGAGGGUGCCGUGAUGAAAUGGUGGAUGGGCGACGCCCGAGGCCAAUCACGCGCGACUCUGUCCGGCUCGGACUCCUGGACCCCUUCGGCGUCUCCGGACGCUCUUUGGCGAGACCUCAGGUCAGGCGGGGCUACCCGCUGAGUUUAAGCAUAUCAAUAAGCGGAGGA
rnacentral:misc_RNA from 1 species